rnacentral:lncRNA from 1 species
GGGCAGAGGAGAGAGGCAAGAGAGAGAAGAUGCAUGUGUUUUCUCAGCAAAUCACAAGGAAUGCACCCAAGCAAGAUGACUCAGUCAGCCUAUUUGAAAACUCCUCACAAUGCAACCAAGGCUCACUAAGAAGAAGCUAUCUCUUUAAGAAAGAGAGGAAAAGGUAAUCCAAAUCAACACCUACCUACACACUCCACCCUGAGUGUCAGCUUCCCUUUGCUAAAGGACAAACUUUCUUCCCACUUAGAUUUCUUUCUUCCACUGAAAGCGCAUUGGAGAGGUGAGAAGUGGAUAAAAAUACAUGUUAUUUCUUGGUCGGCUGGAAGGUGGUUUUGCAGUUUAUAACUGCAGGUUGACAAGCAAACUUUGGAUUCCCCUGAAAUCCUCUGAAUUCAUCCCUAAUGUCUGCAGAAUGAAUCCAGAUUUCCAAAGCCGGCAUGGAAGGGACAGUCCUUGCCCCUUGGGCCAUUGCCCUGCUGAUCUUUGGUGCUGUGCUGAUAAUGACCUCACUGAUGAUCCUCCCUCCUGUCACUCUCCUCAUCUGGAGAAUCCACCAGAUGCCAGAGAUCUCGCUGGUAGGGGCCAUAUAAGUCCAGGCCCCUUCCAGACCUCUGCUGACUCCCAGAUUGUUCUGUCUUAGAUGGCGUUACCCAGACCAAAAAGUCUUGGGCCAUUUAUGAAAUUCACAUAGCCCUUACCUCCCUGUCACAAGCUUUCAGUGGUCUUCCGUAUCAGACAACUGCUUCCCUUUGUAGAAUCACGGAAUGCAAAAGCUUGAAGCAACCAAACUCUCCAUGGUACAUAUGAAAAAAAAAAUUGAAGGGGAAGGGACUGGCCCAAAGCCACACAGAUAGUAAAUGGCAGAGCCAAGAGUCAAACCUAGGUCUAACCAUAGGUCAGAGCAUUAGCUCUUUCCCCUUUUUUUGAACGUGUCCAAUUGAGAUCAUAUUUCAAUGUGUCCUUCUAGGACCUGGUGAAUUGGCCUCCUAUUACUACAUAAAAUGCCCUGACUACACACAGCAGAUAGGGAGCCAAAUGGACAAAAACUUCAUCUUUGUUCUUUCACCCUCAAAGUGGCUCUCUGGAACCUCUGUUGAUAUAGUAACAAUGCAGAAUUACAGAUAACAAUAGCUUAAAGGACUUUAGAGAUAAACUAGGUUAACCCUCUCAUUUUACAGCAAAGGAAGCAGAAGUUUCCCAGAGAGAUUAUGUGAUUGGCCCAUGGUCACAGAAAGUAAAGAGGACAGCUGAGAUGUGAAGUCUAACUCCAAGUAUAACACACUACCUUGUUAGAACCAGCACAAUAUCAAUGCCAUUUUCUUAAGACACUCUUGCUCUGACUUAUAUACAUGAAGCAACGAGUUGGUUGCCAUUCAAUUGAUCAACCAGCAAGCAUUUAUUAAGCACUUACUAUGUGCCAGACACUGUUCCAGGUGUUAGGGAUACAAAUAUAAAAGUAAAAUAGCCCUUACCCUUGAGAAGCUUACAUUCUAGCUAAGAGAAACAAUAUAGGUAGGUAGGACGAUAGAAUAGGAUAGAUGGAGAGAGAGAGAGAGAGAGAGAGAGAGAGAGAAUUUAUGAAAUAUAUACAAAAUGGUACAAGAUAAUUUAGAGGGGUAACACACUAGCAGUUAAGAAUUCAGCUUCAUGUAGAAUGGAGGUAUUAAACCCACAGGCCACAUGCAUCCCAUGAUAUUCUUUACUGCUGCCUGAAAAAAGAUUAAAAUGUAAUUGGAAAUUAUUAAAAAAAAUAAAAUAUAAAAUUACAUUUUAAAACUAAGUCA